rnacentral:rRNA from 1 species
UAAACAUUGACAGUCAACUACACUCACUGUCCGCCUGGGAACUACGAGCACUAGCUUAAAACCCAAAGGACUUGGCGGUGCUUUAGACCCACCUAGAGGAGCCUGUUCUAGAACCGAUGACCCCCGUUAAACCUCACCCUCCCUUGUUUUAACCCGCCUAUAUACCACCGUCGUCAGCUUACCCUGUGAAGGUCCAAUAGUAAGCACAACCGGCAAUGCCCAAAACGUCAGGUCGAGGUGUAGCGAAUGAGAGGGGAAGAAAUGGGCUACAUUUACUGGUACAGUAAAUACGAAGGACUACCCUGCAACGAGUAUCUGAAGGAGGAUUUAGCAGUAAGCAAAAAACAGAGCGUUUUGCUGAAAUUGGC